UUUUUGCUUUGGUGGUGUUUGUAUUAAUUUUGAGUCAUUUUGAAAAAUGCACUAGAAAAAAAUUUUGAGUGUGCCUUUAAAUUUUUCCACAAUGGUGUCAGUGACAGAAGGCAGCUGCAGCAUUGACUUGAACUUGGUUUAAAGGCUGAUAUUUGACUCCAACUCUAAAAACACUCAUCAUUCUUACAAUUCAAUCUGAAGGCACAUGCCUCCUCAAUGAACCCCUCUUAAUCAUCAUCUUUAAUGGGGGCUUUCCUUGGAAAUCCAGUUUUCAGUCUGCCUCUUUCUUAUCCUCAGGGUACAAGGCAUGAAAUGUAUUUUUAUCUUGAUACAGAACAAGUGACUUACUUGGGUCAACCCUGAUUAUUAUCACAAGAUCAGAAUUUCUUGAAUGAAAAUAUAAGGUAUUAAAACACAAGGAUUUUACACCAGUUCCACAAACCUAUUUUGCGAUCCUUUCCUGCUCCACUGUGAAAAAGGAACACAUUUCAUGGGAUGGUGCAGCCCUAGUGAUCACUUCUCUUUUCUUUUUUAGUUGAUUUGAUGUUUUCAAACAGGAGAGUUUUUACAUACGCCAAAGAAAUUCAAAUCUCAGAAUUUUCCCUCU
rnacentral:lncRNA from 1 species